rnacentral:rRNA from 1 species
UGGCUCAGGAUGAACGCUAGCGGCAGGCUUAACACAUGCAAGUCGAGGGGCAGCGGGGAGGAAGCUUGCUUUCUCCGCCGGCGACCGGCGCACGGGUGAGUAACACGUAUGCAACCUGCCCCUGUCAGGGGGACAACCCGCCGAAAGGCGGGCUAAACCCGCGUACAUGCCACCGGGGCAUCCCGGAGGCAGGAAAGGCUUCGGCCGGACAGGGAUGGGCAUGCGGCGCAUUAGGCAGUAGGCGGGGUAACGGCCCACCUAACCGACGAUGCGUAGGGGUUCUGAGAGGAAGGUCCCCCACACUGGUACUGAGACACGGACCAGACUCCUACGGGAGGCAGCAGUGAGGAAUAUUGGUCAAUGGUCGGGAGACUGAACCAGCCAAGCCGCGUGAGGGAUGAAGGUACAGAGUAUCGUAAACCUCUUUUGUCAGGGAACAAAGGCGGGGACGUGUCCCCGGAUGAGUGUACCUGAAGAAAAAGCAUCGGCUAACCCCGUGCCAGCAGCCGCGGUAAUACGGAGGAUGCGAGCGUUAUCCGGAUUUAUUGGGUUUAAAGGGUGCGCAGGCGGUCUGUUAAGUCAGCGGUCAAAGCCCGGGGUUCAACCCCGGCCCGCCGUUGAAACUGGCAGUCUCGAGUUGGAGAGAAGUAUGCGGAAUGCGCGGUGUAGCGGUGAAAUGCAUAGAUAUCGCGCAGAACUCCGAUUGCGAAGGCAGCAUGCCGGCUCCACACUGACGCUGAGGCACGAAAGCGUGGGUAUCGAACAGGAUUAGAUACCCUGGUAGUCCACGCAGUAUACGAUGAAUGCUGGCUGUCCGGGGGGGAUUGACCCCUGGGUGGCGAAGCGAAAGCGAUAAGCAUUCCACCUGGGGAGUACGCCGGCAACGGUGAAACUCAAAGGAAUUGACGGGGGCCCGCACAAGCGGAGGAACAUGUGGUUUAAUUCGAUGAUACGCGAGGAACCUUACCCGGGCUCAAACGGGGAGUGACUCAGGCAGAGACGCCUGUUUCCCACGGGACACUCCCCGAGGUGCUGCAUGGUUGUCGUCAGCUCGUGCCGUGAGGUGUCGGCUUAAGUGCCAUAACGAGCGCAACCCCCGCGUGCAGUUGCUAACAGAUAACGCUGAGGACUCUGCACGGACUGCCGGCGCAAGCCGCGAGGAAGGCGGGGAUGACGUCAAAUCAGCACGGCCCUUACGUCCGGGGCGACACACGUGUUACAAUGGGUGGUACAGCGGGAAGCCAGGCGGCGACGCCGAGCGGAACCCGAAAUCCACUCUCAGUUCGGAUCGGAGUCUGCAACCCGACUCCGUGAAGCUGGAUUCGCUAGUAAUCGCGCAUCAGCCAUGGCGCGGUGAAUACGUUCCCGGGCCUUGUACACACCGCCCGUCAAGCCAUGGGAGCCGAGGGCGCUUGAAGUGCGUCGCCGCGAGGCGCGCCCUAGAGCGAAAUCGGUGACUGGGGCUAAGUCGUAACAAGG